UUGGAGGCUGAGAGCACCAUAGCUCAGCCUUGAGCCCUUUCUGUGUAUCUUGGUGAGCCCGGCACAACCUCCAGCUGGGCAAGAUGAAAAUGCCAGGCAGAUGAGUAGCCUCGGACCACAGCCUGAAGCCUGGAAGCUGACCUGUGGGGCCACGGGAAUUCAGAUGACUCAGAGACCCCAGCUACACCUGUGCUACCCGGAAGGUGGAUGCUGACCUCGUACACUCUCUGUGGAGGAACACAAUGAGGAAGAUGGUGGAAGACAGUGAGGAGUCUUGAACACCCCAUCACCUCCCUUAGGGCAAGGUGCAGCCCACCUUUGGGUAUCAGAGGUAUAGGUUGAAAUCACAUACCAACCUGGCAGUUGGGGCUGGAGUUACUCUGCAGGCUCACAGUGUGACUUUGGCAGAUGCUGGGGUGACAUUAAACAGAGAAAGCAAAACCUGGAAGAAUCCAUCUGGUAAAAUCUGCAAGACAUCAAUCAGCUUGGCAGCUCCACGGUCAUGAAUUCCUGACGGGUUUUUCUUUCUUCAACUCGCUUCGUGAGCCACAGCACCUCAAGGUUGUUGGAAAGCACAUGAUCACCCCAUAGGUAGAGUCUGCAACCCUUUCUAGCCAGAAAACGCUAUAGAAGACAGAGACCACCAUUCUCAGCACCUCAUAAAGAAUUAUGGGGAUUUGUGUAUCUCAGGGGAAUGAGGCAGGAAGGCAGGGCAUAGAAAAGCUGGCUGAGGAGUAAGAGCAACCAGAUUCCAUGAUGUGCACCAAAUAAUUUCCAAGGCCCCACAUAUGGAGUUCUUAAAGGCUCCCACAGUGUGUGAAAGAAAUAAAGCAAAGUGAUGCCAUUGAAAGUGUCCUUCUGUAGCUUUCCUCUCGAGGGUAGCCCGCCCCCUCUCCCCCAAAGGGUACUUUUAUUUUGGUUUUUAAUUUUUUCUCUCUUUUGUUCUGCCCAAGCUCUGCAUAGCCAGUUUUCCCCUUACCCUUCAUUUUUAAUUUUUCUUUUUUUGUAUUUUUCCUUUUUAUCGGUACUGGGGAUCGAACUCACGACUGCCUGCUUGCAAGGCAGGCGCUUAUGCCGCUGAGCUAAAUCUCCAGCCCCUUCAUUUUUAAUUUUUCAAAUAAAUUUGUCACUGUUUUCUUUGUUUCACUUAAUUCUUUGAGAUGGAAAGAACCUGGAAACCAAGAUGCCAGUAUCCCAAAACCUGAUGACACUUCUAUCAUGAAGUCCCUGCCUCAGUGCCAGCAAACUAGGAAAUGAAUCUUUGGACACUGUGAGAUGAGUGAGCCUCUGUACCUUUAAGUCGCAGUCGUAUUUUAUCUCAGCAACAGGAAAGUGACUAAUACUCUCUUGUAAUGGUGUAUUAUAAUUUUAGUAUGUGUCUCCCUCAUUAUACUGUAAGCUCUGUAGAAGCUGAAACUAUUUUGCCCCCAGUAGUAUCUGUUCAAUAAACAUCUGUUGGGCUGGGGAUUUAGCUCAGCGGCAUAAGCACUUGCUUUGCAAGCGCAUGGUCGUGAGUUUGGUCGCUGGUACCAAUAAAAAAAAAAAAUAAACAUCUGUUGAUACUAGAUUCAGUCAUCUUGCCCUUUUUUUGUUUUUCCCUAGAGUAGUGAUCCCUCAUGUAUGGCCUGUGACUAGAUGUCCCCCUCAAGCCUCAUGUGGUUGUAAUUGGGACUUUUUCACAGGCGGUUGGAUAAAGUAUGUGAUGCUAUGAGCAAAUUGAUUUAUGCUGAAGUGCUAGGAUCAAGGACACUAGGAUUAAGGGUAUGAGUGUUACCUGCCUGAAGUAACUUGGAGAAGAUAGAAAGAGCUGCAGUCACCCCUUGAUGCUUUGCUACCUUCUGCCCAUCAUGAACUGUUUCUGUUAGUGAUGCCUGUCUGCUAUGUCACCCUGUCUUGGAGCCAGCUGAUUAUGGAUUGGAACUUUUACA